UACGUAGGGGGCAAGCGUUGUCCGGAAUUAUUGGGCGUAAAGAGCGCGUAGGCGGUCUGAUAAGUCGGUUGUGAAAGUCGGGGGGCUCAACCCUCGGAUGCCGAUCGAUACUGUCAGGCUAGAGUCCGGAAGAGGCGAGUGGAAUUCCUGGUGUAGCGGUGAAAUGCGCAGAUAUCAGGAGGAACACCAAUGGCGAAGGCAGCUCGCUGGGACGGUACUGACGCUGGAGGCGCGAAAGCGUGGGGGAGCAAACAGG
rnacentral:rRNA from 1 species